rnacentral:misc_RNA from 1 species
AACGCACGAGACCUGCGGACCUGCGGAGGGAUCAUUAAUGAGAAGCUGCCCCUCGUGGGUAGACCUCCCACCCUCUGUGAACUUACCUUUGUUGCUUUGGCAGGCCCGUCCUCUGGACCGCCGGCUUCGGCUGGCCCGUGCCUGCCAGAGGAUUCCAAACCCUGUCCGUCAGUGUUGUCUGAGUCUAUAUGAAAUCGUUAAAACUUUCAGCAACGGAUCUCUAGAUCGGAAGAGCACACG